GACAGAGGUCCCGAGCGUUAGGCGGAAUCACUGGGCUUAAAGCGUGUGUAGGCGGGUCGUUAAGUGUCUUGUGAAAUCCCACCGCUCACCGGUGGAACGGCUGGGCAUACUGGCGACCUUGAGAGGCCUAGGGGCAGACGGAACAAGCGGUGGAGCGGUGAAAUGCGUAGAUAUCGCUUGGAACGCCGACGGCGAAAGCAGUCUGCUGGGGGCCUUCUGACGCUGAGACACGAAAGCCAGGGGAGCAAACGGG
rnacentral:rRNA from 1 species